GCAUGAUCUCUCAUUCAUGACAUUGGAUUUGAAACUGUGCAUGUUCUAAAGGCAUGUAGUGAGAAGAAAUACUGAUUUAGCACGCAGAUUAGCCUUGGGAAAGUACACUGCCCUGUGCCUACCUCCCUGCCUUGGACAGUAAGAUGUGUUUGCUCAGAGAAGAGAGCAACUGAAACAGCAAAUCCUUUCCCUCCUGAAGAAGGAGGCACAAGCAGAAGAUUGUUUGGAAGUGACAUUUUUUUCCUAGCCAACACACAGAACAUGUGUGUUUUAACUCUGUCUUAAAAAUUAUUCACAACAUACAUGUAUUUUAGUGAUAGGAACAAAAAAUAAAUAACUUAAAGAUGUUUCAGGUGUCUCUUAUACAGAAUGAAAUC